UAUCUGGUCUUAGAGAGCACAACAAGGAGCUGAAAAAAGGGGUCUGGGACUGCGAGAGGACAGCAGCCUGCGCCCUGUCCCUGGAGAAGUUCCAGCACAGUGUGCACAACCAUGUUAGGGGAUGGCUCACAAGAGCAUGAGCUUUUUGAAGUAGACACUGUGACUUAUUCCAAGUUUCCUGGCUGUGAACAUCAGCUUCUAAUGAACACAACACGGUCUGUGGACGCAAGACCCUAGGGACGCAAAAAUGCGCCUGAGCAGUCGCAAGGAUGUACCCUGAGCGAGAAACCAUUGUGAUACGAAGUGGCACUAAGUUGCAGGGGAACCCGGGACAUGCCGGGAAGGGGCUGGCCCGCGGUGGCAGGGCUCGGGACGCGCCAGAACGUGUCGCACUGGCCUCUGGGUCAGGCUCGGCCCUGCAAGAGAGCCCUGCUUUGAGUUGAUGAUGUCUUC